UCUCAGUUCGGACUGUGGUCUGCAACCCGACCACACGAAGCUGGAAUCGCUAGUAAUCGCGAAUCAGAAUGUCGCGGUGAAUACGUUCCCGGGUCUUGUACACACCGCCCGUCACACCAUGGGAGUCAGCAACGCCCGAAGUCAGUGACCUAACCUUAUAGGGGAGGAGCUGCCGAAGGCGGGGCCGGUGACUGGGGUGAAGUCGUAACAAGGUAAC
rnacentral:rRNA from 1 species